UCAUUUAGAGGAACACCACUUUUUUGUCAGCAUUUACAGCAUUUUUUUUUUUUUUACAAGGCCAAGCCUGGUUCCACCGAACACAGAGACAGAUCCACAUCAGUUGAGAAAUGCCACACGCUGAGCUGCAGAGGAGGAAAGCCCUUAUUCUUCACUCCAAUGAAGUGCUUCAGUAUCUGCUUUUCAGAAGAGCAGACAAAGGCUGAAAUUGCGGUACCCUGCUGGAUGGGAUGAACCCCUCUGCAUAAAACACAAGCGAAAAUCAGGAAUGUUUAGGCUGUUCACCCCGCUAAAACCACCUACAACCAAGGAAGCUCACAGAAAACUUGUUAGCCUGCUGCUAACCUGCAAGAGCACAACGUAAACAAAAACACCGUCUGCUAAACUAGGGGUGUCUGCACAGGAAUACGAGAUGACAGAAACAGACCUGCUCCAGAAAGGGCACCUCCCCAGCACAGUUACCUCGCUGUUCAUUUAGGUAGAGUCAAGCGGAACCGCCAAUGACAGCGCUCGGGAGCUGAAAGAAGUUCUGUUUGACGGACAUGGCUUGGAUCUGCCCGCUCCCCUACUUCACCUCACACCACCCCAUCCUGCCCAUGAGAGGAGCGGAGGCAGCGGUAAUUGCGUGGGAGUGCCAGUAAUUACAGCAGCAGGAGGCCUGUUCCCACAGCUGGGCUGGACCAUAGAAGGAAGGAACCGAGCAAGAACCACAAGAGCUCUCAGGAAUUUGAUUACAGAUUGGCUGGGACACAGCAAGGACUGCAUAUAUAUGUUAUAUGUUAUAUAUUUCCAUUUGACCUGUGUUAGGUGUUAAGCACAUUUCCGUAUGUGCAUACAUCGAAGAAACACACAUGAACACACAUGCAUAUGUAUGUAACCCACGAGCACACGUACUGUACACAUAUGCAUUAUGCAUAUACAUACACAUGCACACACGAACAGACAGAUAUGCACACAAACACACAUUUGCACACAAAGAUACUGCAUGUAUAUACACACAUUCUUACACCUGAACACAUACUGUAUAUAUAUACACUGUGUGUGUGUGUGUAUAUAUAUCAUCUUUGACAAAGCUACACAAUAACAGUCUAACGCAAUAACACAAUAACGCACAAGCACAAAAAAGGAAUACACACACAGAGAUAUAAUGCAUGAUGCAUAAAACGCAAAAAAAUGGAUUUUCCCUUUCUCUUACAAUACAAUGUAUUGAAUCCUCAGAAUCUAUUCAUCUACCAAAGGAAUAUUGUUUUAUGCCUCACAGGGAUGCAGUUGUACAUCUGUUACUUAUUUGUGAUUAUUACACAAGUGGAAAAACUAACAUCCCCUAAAAAAACUUAUAAUAUAUAAAUAUAUAUAUAUAUAUAUUACUGUAUUCAUCCUGUGUGUUUUUUAUAGUAUUUUUUAGUAUUCUACAUAUUUGCUUUGUCGCACAUUCCUCCAAAGAACAGAGCAAACUGGCUGCCUUGUGUGUCUUUGUAGCAUGGCUAGAGGAAUACUGGUAUGCUGAAUGCCAUCCACACGUUUGUACAGACUCUGAAGGUCUCUUCAGCUACAAGCUUUUGUGUUGGAUAUAAUGGGGAAGCAAACCUUGAUUUUUCCGUCUCUCAUUUCUCCCUCUCUCCCUCUCUGGCACCUCCCCAUCUAAUUCAAGGCUGUCGCUCCAUCUAUCCAUCUUGUUUGAGAAGGAAUUAGCCUCCAAGGCCCUGGUAUUGUUUCCCACGCCGCGCACCAAAGGGUUAAUAAUGCGUGGGCCCAGUUUCGAUCAGUCAGCAUACUCGUCGAGGCAGCACUUUUUGGAGAAAGCAAACAGUGGUGACCCCUGUAGCUCCAGCAUCCAAUCAGAUUUCUACAUUUGCCUUCUGGUCAAAGGGGACACCGUGGUGUCAUCAUCACCCACCGCAAAAAACCUCAAAGUGGU